rnacentral:rRNA from 1 species
GUAGGUGGCAAGCGUUGUCCGGAAUUAUUGGGCGUAAAGCGCGCGCAGGCGGUUCUUUAAGUCUGAUGUGAAAGCCCACGGCUCAACCGUGGAGGGUCAUUGGAAACUGGAGAACUUGAGUACAGAAGAGGAAAGCGGAAUUCCACGUGUAGCGGUGAAUGCGUAGAGAUGUGGAGGAACACCAGUGGCGAAGGCGGCUUUCUGGUCUGUAACUGACGCUGAGGCGCGAAAGCGUGGGGAGCAAACAGGGAUUAGAUACCCUGGUAGUCCACGCCGUAAACGAUGAGUGCUAAGUGUUAGGGGGUUUCCGCCCCCUUAGUGCUGCAGCUAACGCAUUAAGCACUCCGCCUGGGGAGUACGGCCGCAAGGCUG